CUUUAUUGGCUUAUAUAACUAGAAAGUCUAAACAUCAAGAACAGGAUCAAUUGAACCGGUGGGUUCACAGUGGCCUGUCGCACCCCAGGGUGCAUGAGGCAAGAUCUGGGAGGUGGGCACUGAAGCUGAGGAAGUAGAGAGGUUGGGGGUAACUGAUAGGUGCUUGACGCAAAUCUUGAGCCUGGGUUUUCAUGCAAUCCCUGGACAUUGGUCUCAACUGGGCAGCUCCAUUUAGAGCAGCUUCACUGGGUAAACCCCCCGUGGGUGUUAAGGUCUAAAGGGCAGAAGCUCUCAACCUGGGGGUAGGGGUGGAGGGAGGUGCCCAAAAAUGCCAUGCAGGAGGUAGAAUCAGUGAGGAGCUUCUACCGGGGAGAGAACCACUUUCAGGUAACGCCCCCUCCCCCACCCAGGUGAAAAUAUUUCCUUCCUGUUAAGAAGAACAUCAGGGUGCAGGUGGCCCUGGAUGACAUACAUCCGCGCGUGCCAGAAAUCAGGGCCCUGCACCAGAGGGCGCUUCCUAUGUCUUUCACUGCUGUGAUUUCAUAGUUGCUUCCCUUUAUCAACAACAUGGGAUUUCCCCAAUGGGAAGAGAAGUGAUCCAGAGUUGAUGUAAACCAGCCACAUUCCCUGGAAAUGUGUGUAUCCCAGGACCCAGAGCUAGGCCCUGGGGUUACAAGCCAAGGCAGCGGGAUCACCACAAGACUGAUGUUAACAGUAAACCCUCCAGGGGUUUCUUUACGCAGCUAACGGGCACUGCAGCUCAGCGCUGGUGGGUUCCGGUUGGUUAGUUGUUUGUUGUGUGAGUGUGUGUGUGUGUGUAUUAGGAGUACAUGUAUGUGUAUGUGUGUGUUUGUGUAUGUGUGUGAGUGUGUGUAUAUUAGGAGCACGUGUACGUGUAUCUGGUGUGUGUGUAUUAGGAGCCCAUGCAUCUGUUUAUAUUGCGUGUGUGUGUUGGCGGGGCACUACCAGUAUCAAUCCAGACCACUCACAUCAAUAAGUCACUGUGUCCUAAAGGCCCAUUGGACCCUCGCCUGCCUUUUUCUGCUACUCCACCCAGCACUGCAGAAUAGAAGGGCUUCCCAAAACCGGAGGGAGUGGGGUAAGGCCCCUGGAGGAUGUGCCGUGCUCACCGGCGUUCAGGCGCGGCUUACCUUAGCUGAGGGCCUACUCCAACGGCUAAUCCUCUAACAAUGCGAGCUGGCUUUAACCUCAAAUUGCAGAGUAGGAAACCAAGGCUCAGAGUGCACAGAUUGUAAAGGGUAGAGCCCAGACUCAAACCCGGGAUUCCCGACUCCACGGGAAGUGCUCCUUCCACCACACACAGCCCAGACUCUGUAGCUACACCACCUGGUUUGUACCCCAGCUGUGCCACUUACUAGCUGUGUGACCCUGGGUGACUGACUUACUAUCUCUGUGCCUCAGUGAUUCAUUGGGAAUACUAUGAGGAUUAAAGGAAUUACUGCACAUGGACCAUGUUUAGCACACAGUAAGUGCUAUAUAAACGCACUAUCUUCUUACAAUUAUUACAUCCCACUGCUACUGGAAAUGAUUUACCCAGUGAAGAAAAACAACCUUCUAGAAGAACAGGAAGCCUCUUUUCAAAUGGAACCCCAGGAAGACUAACAACCUUGGGAAAGCUGGCCUUACCCUUCCUGCCUUGGUCAGUGCGGCCCUCACCCAGGAGCCCAGGGCCAGGACAAGGCCCUCGCUGGGAAGGUCAGCCUGAGAACGCAGGGCAUUCAUGAGUCAUUCAGCAGGAACAAAGAAGCUUCAGUCUGCAACUUCCACGGGGAAGCAGUUGAAACAGUGUGGGCUCACACGUUUUUUUGAAAUCUGAAAACACUCCUUCGAGGUGCCCUUAAGCACCUGACAGCAGCUGUUCUCCCUUGACAGCUGGAUUCCGAACGUAAACAUCAUUUGUCGGAACGCGUCGGAAUUGUGUGCAUGCAGAUGUAGACGGCUGUGUGGCAGGGGCUGCUGGGAAGCCGCUUUGAGACACUUUCUGCUCGUCUGUCUCUACCAGCCCAGUGUGUGUUCGCAGAUGGAUUCAUUGCGGUGUUUCAUAAGGAGGUCAAAAGUCAAGCCGGCAUCCUUUCUCUUCUUAGGGGCAACUCUCCAACUCUCGGAUUCAAUCCCCAAGUCAGUGUGAGGCGAAGACA
rnacentral:lncRNA from 1 species